AUUAUAAAGCUGAUGACUAAGGU
rnacentral:piRNA from 1 species